rnacentral:rRNA from 1 species
CCUUGCUACUUGGAUAACCGUAGUAAUUCUAGAGCUAAUACAUGCAGGAAUUCCCGACUUCGGAAGGGAUGUAUUUAUUAGAUAAGAAACCAAACCGGUCUCCGGUUGUGUGCUGAGUCAUAAUAACUGCUCGAAUCGCACAGCUCUACGCUGGCGAUGGUUCAUUCAAAUUUCUGCCCUAUCAGCUUUCGAUGGUAGGAUAGAGGCCUACCAUGGCGUUAACGGGUAACGGAGAAUUAGGGUUCGAUUCCGGAGAGGGAGCCUGAGAAAUGGCUACCACAUCCAAGGAAGGCAGCAGGCGCGUAAAUUGCCCGAAUCCUGACACAGGGAGGUAGUGACAAGAAAUAACAAUACAGGGCUCUCUGAGUCUUGUAAUUGGAAUGAGUACAAUUUACAUCUCUUCACGAGGAUCAAUUGGAGGGCAAGUCUGGUGCCAGCAGCCGCGGUAAUUCCAGCUCCAAUAGCGUAUAUUAAAGUUGUUGCAGUUAAAACGCUCGUAGUCGGAUUUCGGGGCGGGGCCGCCGGUCUGCCGAUAGGUAUGCACUGGCGGGCGCGUCCUUUUUCCCGGAGACGGCUGCUACUCUUAACUGAGCGGUGGUCGGAGACGGGAUGUUUACUUUGAAAAAAUCAGAGUGUUUCAAGCAGGCAGUCGCUCUUGCAUGGAUUAGCAUGGGAUAAUGAAAUAGGACUCUGGUGCUAUU